rnacentral:sRNA from 1 species
CCCUGCAGGAGUCCCAGCUCUCACUGGGUGGCCAGAGCUGUGCAGGAGAGCCAGAUGAGGAACUGGUUGGUGCCUUCCCUAUUUUUGUCCGGAAUGCCAUCCUGGGCCAGAAACAGCCCAAGAGGCCCAGGUCAGAGUCCUCUUGCAGCAAAGAUGUGGUAAGGACAGGCUUCGAUGGGCUCGGUGGCCGGACAAAAUUCAUCCAGCCUGUAUCCUUUUCCCGUGAUGUUGAGCUGAGCUGAGCUGUGGAGCCCGUACUAUGCCUCACCUAUACCCCCAGCCUGCCAGUGCCAACAGCCUCAGGUGUGCAGUGCUGGGCCUCAUUCUGUGUAUCAGGGCCGCCCACCCCCGGCUCUGAGCCUUUCUUGCCCUGCAUUGCAGUCCUUUCUCCAUGCCUCUUCCUUGACAGCUCCUCCAGACUGACACAGUCAUGAUCCGCCCAUUGCCUGUUAAGCCCAAGACCAAGGCUAAGCAGAGAGUGAGGGUGAAGACAGUGCCUUCUCUCUCCCAGGCCAAGCUGGACACCUUCCUGUGGUCGUGAGAACAGUGAGUCUGACCAAUGGCCAGACACAUGCCUGCAACUUGUAGGUCAAGGACUGUCCAGGCAGGGGUUUUGUGGACAGAGCCCCACUUUCGGGACCAGCCUGAGGCGUAAGGGCAGACAAACAGGUGAGGGUGAGUGUGACACCCAGAGACUGCUCUUCCUGCCCUCACCCUGCCCCACUCCUACGACUGGGAGCUGACAUGACCAGCCCACUGAUCCUGUCAGCAGGUCCUGCUCCUGUUGCCAGGCUCCUGUUUAUAGCCAUGAUCAGAUGUGGUCAGACUCUUUCUGGGCCUGGAGACCACGGUCACUUGUUGACUGUCUCUGUGGACCAGAGUGCUUGAGGCAUCUCAGGCAGCCUCAGCCCAAGCUUCUACCUGCCUUUGACUUGCUUCUAGGCAUAGCCUGGGCCAAGCAGGGUGGGGAAUGGAGGAUAGCAUGGGAUGUAUGGAGAGGAUGGAAGAUUUUCAUGUAAAAUA